rnacentral:rRNA from 1 species
AGUGAACGCUGGCGGCGUGCUUAACACAUGCAAGUCGAACGAGAACGGGUUAUAGCUUGCUAUAAUUGUCAGCUAAGUGGCGCACGGGUGAGUAAUGUAUAGGUAAUAUGCCUCUUACUAAGGGAUAACAAAUGGAAACGUUUGCUAAUACCUUAUACUCCUUAUUAACAGAAGUUAAUAAGGGAAAGAUUUAUUGGUAAGAGAUUAGCCUGUAUUGUAUCAGUUAGUUGGUGGGGUAAUGGCUUACCAAGACUAUGACACAUAACUGGUUUGGAGGGAUGAAAAGUCACACUGGAACUGAGAACCGGUCCAGACUCAUAGGGGAGGAAGCAGUGGGGAACAUUGCACAAUGGACGAAAGUCUGAUGCAGCAACGCCGCGUGGAGGAUAACACAUUUCGGUGCGUAAACUCCUUUUAUAUGAGAAGAUAAUGACGGUAUUAUAUGAAUAAGCACCGGCUAACUCCGUGCCAGCCGCCGCCGUAA